CCUACGGGAGGCAGCAGUGAGGAAUAUUGGUCAAUGGGCGCGAGCCUGAACCAGCCAAGUCGCGUGCGGGAAGACGGUCCUAUGGAUUGUAAACCUCUUUUGUCGGGGAGCAAAAGACGCCACGCGUGGCGUUCCGAGAGUACCCGAAGAAAAAGCAUCGGCUAACUCCGUGCCAGCAGCCACGGUAAUACGGAGGAUGCGAGCGUUAUCCGGAUUUAUUGGGUUUAAAGGGUGCGCAGGCGGCAGAUCAAGUCAGCGGGAAAAGUCCGGGGCUCAACCUCGCCGAGCCGUUGAAACUGGGUUGCUUGAGUGAGCGAGAAGUAUGCGGAAUGCGUGGUGUAGCGGUGAAAUGCUUAGAUAUCGCGCAGAACUCCGAUUGCGAAGGCAGCAUACCGGCUCCACACUGACGCUCAGGCACGAAAGUGUGGGUAUCGAACAGGAUUAGAUACCCCUGUAGUC
rnacentral:rRNA from 1 species